rnacentral:sRNA from 1 species
UUUUUCCCAAAUCCGCAGAUUCUUCUUCUUC